CUAGUCUCUAGCUGACUGGACGUUUUCGACCAAGCGCCACUCAGCUGUGGCUCUCGGCCUCUGCACACAGACCGCUUUUCUUAGUGAACACAUUCAGCUGGAAGUAUCUGGAGAGCCUGGUGUUGAAAGCAAGCAUCUACUUUUGAGUGCUGGCAACCUACAGACUCCACCUGGACCUGAGACUCAUGACUCAGCUGAUCCUGUGGCUCCACCCAGAGGUGGACUCAGCGGACAAAAAUCAUUUACACCCCACGGUCUGUCCCCAACCAAUCAGCAGCACCCAUUCCCUAGCCCCUGCCUGCCAAAUUGCCCAUGAAAACUCUAGCCUCUGAGUUCUCUAGAAGUUUGAAUAAUAACUCGUCUUUUCACUUGGCUAGCUCUGUGUUAAACUCUUUCUCUACUGCAAUACAA